GUGGGAUGACGUCAAGUCCUCAUGGCCCUUAUGUCCAGGGCUACACACGUGCUACAAUGGACCGGUACAAAGGGCAGCAAAGCCGCGAGGUGGAGCCAAUCCCAGAAAGCCGGUCUCAGUUCAGAUUGCAGGCUGCAACCCGCCUGCAUGAAGAUGGAGUUGCUAGUAACCGCAGGUCAGCUAUACUGCGGUGAAUACGUUCCCGGGGCUU
rnacentral:rRNA from 1 species